rnacentral:piRNA from 1 species
GUCCCCAACUGACUGAGUUCUCUUUCCUAG